rnacentral:rRNA from 1 species
CCUACGGGAGGCAGCAGUAGGGAAUUUUGCGCAAUGGGGGAAACCCUGACGCAGCAACGCCGCGUGAUUGACGAAGCCCUUCGGGGUGUAAAGAUCUGUCAGUGGGGACGAAGAAAUGACGGUACCCACAGAGGAAGCACCGGCUAACUCCGUGCCAGCAGCCGCGGUAAU